rnacentral:lncRNA from 1 species
GCCCCUCCUCCCUCCCGGAGCGGCGCGGUGCAUGCCGCCGGCGAGGCGGAAGCGGAAGACGAAUGAGAAAAUAAGGGGGCGGGGCGCCGUGACCUCUGACCCGCGCGCACGUGGCCGGCGGCGGCGCACGCGGAGCGGCGGGAAGGAGCCAUGGAGCAGCGGCCUCUUCCCGGCGCGGCGGCGGCGGCGCCGGAGCCGGAGGAGCCGGGCACGGAAAGCGACGACCUGACAGACAGCGAGGAGAGCGUCUACUCCGGCCUGGAGGACUCGGGCAGUGACAGCAGUACCGAGGAGGAGGAGGAGGAGGAGGAAGAGGAGCCGAAGGACAGUCCGCCCUCGCAGGCGCACGUCAAAGGGGCUCCUAGGAAGAGCAGAAACUUAGAGGCUGAUYCAGCGUUGAAGGAAAACCAGCAUCUGCUUCUUCAGAACGAAUAUGAGCAAGACAGCUCAGAUGAAGAGGCGCCCAGCUAAGAUACGAGCUAUGGUUCUUGUCCCUGCCUCGGAGCUCGGCUCAGGUGACCAGAGUGGGUGGUAUCUAACGGUGCUGUCUUGCAGCUCCAGCUCUCUGGACUGUCUCCGGAGCUGGGCCUUGGUCCAGCRUGCUCUGCUGAGAUGCCGUAGCCGGGCAGCAGGGAACCCGUGGUAGGAARCCGUGCGAGGAAGCCCUUUGCAGUGCCACUUCAGCAGCCCCGGCGGCUGUUCUGACUAGGAAUCCCCCAAAAUAAAUAAACUGAUAAAUGCUUUAAAGAAAUCCUG